rnacentral:rRNA from 1 species
UACAGAGGGUGCGAGCGUUGUCCGGAAUUACUGGGCGUAAAGGGCGCGUAGGCGGCGCGGAAAGUCGUCGGUGAAAGCUCGGGGCUCAACCCUGAGUCUGCCGGUGAUACUCCCGCGCUCGAGCUCACUAGAGGCAGAUGGAAUUCCGGGUGUAGCGGUGGAAUGCGUAGAGAUCCGGAAGAACACCGGUGGCGAAGGCGGUCUGCUGGGGUGAGGCUGACGCUGAUGCGCGACAGCGUGGGGAGCAAACAGG